AUAGAACCAUUGCUGCGGUUAAAAAGCUCGUAGUUGGAUCUGUGCCUGUGACGUGGUCCACUCGUAAGGGUGGUACUGCGCUCACGGGCUUUGGACCGGUCUUCGCGGUCGGUAGUCUUCAUUGGCUGCCGUCCGUGGCUGGUUGGUUUACUUUGAGCAAAUCAGAGUGCUCAGCACAGGCGUCUUGCCGGAAUGUUCGUGCAUGGAAUAAUAGAAAAGGAUUUCGGUCCUCUUUUGUUGGUUUUGUGGACUGAGAUAAUGGUUAACAGAGACGACCGGGGGCAUUCGUAUUGCUGCGUGAGAGGUGAAAUUCUUGGACCGCAGCAGGACGAACUACAG
rnacentral:rRNA from 1 species